AUUGAACGCUGGCGGCAGGCUUAACACAUGCAAGUCGAGCGGAGAUGAGGUGCUUGCACCUUAUCUUAGCGGCGGACGGGUGAGUAAUGCUUAGGAAUCUGCCUAUUAGUGGGGGACAACAUACCGAAAGGCAUGCUAAUACCGCAUACGUCCUACGGGAGAAAGCAGGGGGUCUUCGGACCUUGCGCUAAUAGAUGAGCCUAAGUCAGAUUAGCUAGUUGGUGGGGUAAAGGCCUACCAAGGCGACGAUCUGUAGCGGGUCCGAGAGGAUGAUCCGCCACACUGGGACUGAGACACGGCCCAGACUCCUACGGGAGGCAGCAGUGGGGAAUAUUGGACAAUGGGGGGAACCCUGAUCCAGCCAUGCCGCGUGUGUGAAGAAGGCCUUAUGGUUGUAAAGCACUUUAAGCGAGGAGGAGGCUACUGUGACUAAUACUCUUGGAUAGUGGACGUUACUCGCAGAAUAAGCACCGGCUAACUCUGUGCCAGCCGCCGCGGUAA
rnacentral:rRNA from 1 species